rnacentral:rRNA from 1 species
UUCCGGUUGAUCCCGCCGGACCUUACUGCUAUCGGGGUGGGACUAAGACAUGCGAGUCGAGCGUCUCUAGCUAUGUUGAGACGCGGCAUACGGCUCAGUAACACGUGGCUAACCUACCCUCAGGACGGGGACAAACCCGGGAAACUGGGGCUAAUAUCCGAUAGGCGAAGAAUCCUGGAAUGGUUCUUCACUCAAAGGACAUUGGAAACAUGCUUUCUCUGUCGCCUGGGGAUGGGGCCGCGUCCGAUCAGGUUGUUGGUGAGGUAAUGGCUCACCAAGCCUUUAACCGGUACGGGCCGUGAGAGCGGUAGCCCGGAGAUGGGUACUGAGACAAGGACCCAGGCCCUACGGGGCGCAGCAGUCGCGAAAACUCCGCAAUGCACGAAAGUGUGACGGGGCUACCCCGAGUGCCGUCCGCUGAGGAUGGCUUUUCCUUGGUGUAACUAGCCGGGGGAAUAAGGAGAGGGCAAGACUGGUGUCAGCCGCCGCGGUAAUACCAGCUCUCCGAGUGGUAGGGAUGAUUAUUGGGCUUAAAGCGUCCGUAGCCGGCUUAGCAAGUUUCCUGUUAAAUUCAGCGACCUAAUCGUUGAGCCGCGGGAAAUACUACUAGGCUAGGAGGCGGGAGAGGUCGACGGUACUUCUGGGGUAGGGGUGAAAUCCUAUAAUCCCGGGAGGACCACCAGUGGCGAAGGCUGUCGACUAGAACGCGCUCGACGGUGAGGGACGAAAGCUGGGGGAGCGAACCGGAUUAGAUACCCGGGUAGUCCCAGCUGUAAACGAUGCGGGCUAGGUGUUGGGGUGGCUACGUGCCACUUCAGUGCCGCAGGGAAGCCAUUAAGCCCGCCGCCUGGGGAGUACGGCCGCAAGGCUGAAACUUAAAGGAAUUGGCGGGGGAGCACCACAAGGCGUGAAGCUUGCGGUUCAAUUGGAUUCAACGCCGGG